UCUUCCGCAAUGGACGAAAGUCUGACGGAGCAACGCCGCGUGCGUGAUGAAGGUUUUCGGAUCGUAAAACUCCGUUGGUAGGGAAGAACAAGUACCGUUCGAAUAGGGCGUUACCUUGACGGUACCUAACCAGAAAGCCACGGCUAACUACGUGCCAGCAGCCGCGGUAAUACGUAGGUGGCAAGCGUUGUCCGGAAUUAUUGGGCGUAAAGGGCGCGCAGGCGGUUGCUUAAGUCGGAUGUGAAAGCCCCCGGCUCAACCGGGGAGGGGCAUUGGAAACUGGGGAACUUGAGUGCAGAAGAGGAGAGUGGAAUUCCACGUGUAGCGGUGAAAUGCGUAGAGAUGUGGAGGAACACCAGUGGCGAAGGCGACUCUCUGGUCUGUAACUGACGCUGAGGAGCGAAAGCGUGGGGAGCGAACAG
rnacentral:rRNA from 1 species